AGAAUUCUGACACCAAACCUUCCUUGCAUGAGUCUGUUAAGACUCCAAGCGACAGUUAAACUGAUUUUUACAGGACCAGACAAAUACAUUGCAAGACAAAUGUCACUAUGCAUUAUACAAUACCCAUACGAAUGAACAGGAUUUCUCCAUAACAUCUAAAGAAGGAGGGCCGAGGAAAACAGUAAAUAGCACAACCCUUAACCAUUUUCUAGUAAGAAUCUAGAAUUCAAGGAGUAGAUAUGGAACCAGGAGGAAUUGCUAUGGGAGUGAAAGGAACCUGCCUUCGUUUAAAACCAUGCCAGCUUCACUCCUCAGGACUGGAAAGCUACUUAUCGGCUCCAAACAGAAAUCAACACCCUUGCGAGGUUUGGCAGGAAGUCCGCUUUUAAAAACCAUUUACAGUAGGAGAUUUCCCUUUGUGUGGAAACUGCUAGAGGAUUCGAGGGAGAGGAAUGCAGCCAGGCUCUGAUGCAGAAUUGUUUGUGCUCAGUGGAUAGGAAAAGUGAAUGAGUGCGGAUGGGUCGGGGGAGGACUGUAACACGGCCAGAGAGCCUGUAAGAAGAAAGAGCUGUUUGGCAUCUGGCUUCCUGAAGCUCGGCUGCCUCUCUCUCUCCUCUCUCGCCUUGUCUGCCAUAUCAAAUAGCUUUUUGAAUGCACCGUUCAGUGAACCAAAAUACAUUUCAAGAUCUUAUGUGGGGGAGCCUUGCCCCGAAUUGAAGUAAGUGGUGGAACUCCCAUUAAUUUCAAAGCAAGGUACAAGGAAGGGGAAGAGGCCUUUUGUCACCGUCCCCCACAUUUUUGCCUUUGUUUCCCCCCUCCUCCUCCAUGCUCUGAAAAUCAUGGCUCAUAUCCAUCUCUGGUGGUACUUGAAUAACUGCUCUGCUGUGAUCUGCAUCACAAAAGUGCCUUUAAAAGCAAGUCAAGCGAGCAACACAGCACUUGUCAGGGCUCCAUUCCUCCCUCUCCCACUUUGAUUUCUCCUCCCUCGGGACCAACUGCAAAUCCGCCAGGCAUCCAGAUUUUGUUUGACAGAACACGGAAGCGUUGGAAACAGAAACGUGUGGCGUCUUUGCAGCGGGAAAC